UACGAAGGGGGCUAGCGUUGUUCGGAAUUACUGGGCGUAAAGCGCGCGCAGGCGGCUAUCCAAGUCAGUGGUGAAAGCCCGGAGCUCAACUCCGGAACUGCCAUUGAAACUGUUUAGCUUGAGGACGAGAGAGGUGAGUGGAAUUCCCAGUGUAGAGGUGAAAUUCGUAGAUAUUGGGAAGAACACCCGUGGCGAAGGCGGUUCUCUGGGACGGUACUGACGCUGAGACGCGAAAGCGUGGGGAGCGAACAGG
rnacentral:rRNA from 1 species